rnacentral:ncRNA from 1 species
CCAUGUGACACGGGGUGCCCGCGAGGGCUGAGAACACACCCGUCGAACCUGAUCUAGUUCGAACUAGCGAAGGGAUGUCGCCUCUUAUGCGC